AAAACAUUUCCUUAAUGGUCACAAAUAAAAGACUAAAACAUGUAAUUAAUCAUCACAAAUAAAACACUAAACCAUUUCCUUAAUCAUCACAAAUAAGAGACUAAAACAUUUCCUUAAUCAUCAGAAAUAAAAGAGACUAAAACACUUCCUUAAUCAACACAAAUAAAAGACUAAAAUAUUUCCUUAAUCAUCACAAAAAAAAGACUAAAAUAUUUCCUUAAUCAUCACAAAUAA